UGACAGUGCUAAGUAGUAGUGCCGCAGGUAAUACGUUAUGAUUUACCUGCACUCUGCUGCUUAACACAAGCA
ncrna:Capitella teleta microRNA cte-mir-252b precursor